rnacentral:rRNA from 1 species
AUACAGAGGGUGCGAGCGUUAAUCGGAAUUACUGGGCGUAAAGCGCGCGUAGGCGGCUUAUUAAGUCAGAUGUGAAAUCCCCGGGCUCAACCUGGGAACUGCAUCUGAUACUGGUAAGCUAGAGUUUUGGAGAGGGAAGUAGAAUUUCAGGUGUAGCGGUGAAAUGCAUAGAGAUCUGAAGGAAUACCAGUGGCGAAGGCGACUUCCUGGCCAAAAACUGACGCUGAGGUGCGAAAGCGUGGGUAGCAAACAGGAUUAGAUACCCCAGUAGUCC